rnacentral:ncRNA from 1 species
GGACCAGGGGAAUCCGACUGUUUAAUUCAAACAAAGCAUCCCGAAGUUCCGAGGAGGAUGUUGACGCCAUGUGAUUUCUGCCCAGUGCU